rnacentral:rRNA from 1 species
CUGGCGGCAUGCCUAACACAUGCAAGUCGAACGGAGUAUUUGGAUUCGUCUGGAUAACUUAGUGGCGGACGGGUGAGUAACACGUGAGCAACCUGCCCUUCAGAGGGGGACAACAGUUGGAAACGACUGCUAAUACCGCAUAACAUAUACUUGAGGCAUCUUGAGUAUAUCAAAGAUUUAUCGCUGAGGAAUGGGCUCGCGUCUGAUUAGAUAGUUGGUGAGGUAACGGCCCACCAAGUCUACGAUCAGUAGCCGGACUGAGAGGUUGAACGGCCACAUUGGGACUGAGAUACGGCCCAGACUCCUACGGGAGGCAGCAGUGGGGAAUAUUGGUCAAUGGGGGCAAACCCCUGAACCAGCAAUGCCGCGUGAAGGAAGAAGGCCUUCGGGUUGUAAACUUCUUUGACCAGGGACGAUAAUGACGGUACCUGGAAAACAAGCCACGGCUAACUACGUGCCAGCAGCGGC